UACGUAGGGGGCUAGCGUUGUCCGGAUUUAUUGGGCGUAAAGAGCGUGUAGGCGGCCAUGUAGGUCCGGUGUGAAACUCGAGGCUUAACCUCGAGAUGUCAUCGGAAACCAUUUGGCUAGAGUCCGGAAGAGGAGAGUGGAAUUCCUGGUGUAGCGGUGGAAAUGACGCAGAUAUCAGGAAGAACACCAAUGGCGAAAGCAGCUCUCUGGGACGGUACUGACGCUGAGACGCGAAAGCGUGGGGAGCGAAACAGG
rnacentral:rRNA from 1 species